GGGAGGGGUAGGAUGAGCGAAGCAAGGGUAGGGGUGCCCGAAAGUUUGUUUUUUUUUUUUUUGUCGACAAUGGGUGCGCAGGGAGACGGCAAGGCAGGAAGGGAGGGCUAGGGGUAGGGUUGCUUUCAGACUUUCGGUUCCAUCUGGAAGCCAUUUCCGCAAGCAUUGAUGGGGAAGGCAUGGUUGUGUGCAGUUUGUGGGGCUGGCCGGUCAGGAAGGGGUUAUUGAGGGAGGUAUGGGAGAGUUUGAUUUCUCUGUUUCCUCCCUUGAUUCAACAGGUAAUGCACUGUUUUCAGUUGGUGCGUCCUCUUGACUCAAAUUUAAAAAUGGUUUCUUGACUGUUUAGUUUGUUGAACAACACCCCUUCCUACUUUCUAAAGCUCAUUUUCUUUAGUUUUCCUCAGACCGGCUCACUCCAUUCUCUCUCUGUCUUUGUGAUUCUGGGUUCCGUUCUGCCAUUUUUGCUUCUGAAGAAACCUAAUUGCAGGUUCUUUUCCAUUUCCAAGCUUCUGUUAUGCUUUUGUGCUGCUGUAUUUUCUGUUGUUAAUGAGGCUUGAUUGAAAUAUGCAUCAUAUUUUUGAAACUCUUUAUCUCAUAGGUUUUUUGAGUAAUAUUCUGGAAGUAAGGUUGAAUACCAAUUGGUGGUCUCUGUCUGAGAUUUAAUUCUUUUUAAACACUCCUCAUAGGCCAUUAUGAUUGAUACUUUAAUAUGAUAGGGGAAAUGCAAAUUAGUUCUCCUUUAGUUUAUGUCUAUUAAGUCACAUUUGGAAUUAACAAUUACCAUGCAUCCGAUUCUAGGACUUUAUAUUUACAUGUAGGGAGUCGGGUUUUUUGAUACAGAAUGUAAGUGAUCCCACUUCACGUACUCUGAAAAUAUCUAAGCUUGGUAAUGACUUUGACGGGCAUGUCUGAUGUCUUCUCAAACAUGAAUAGCCUGUGGGGUUUAAGAUUGAUAUCAAUUCCAAAUUGUGGAAUUGAUAUCAAAGGCAGAUUGUAAAACUGAUAUCAAAGCCAAUGGUAAGUGUUUGGGGGCUUCUUGGUAUGAUAGUUAUGUCUGUUCUGUGUUUGUUUUCUUUCCGUCUGUUCUUAGAGCGUACUCCUUAUCCUUUGAUGUGUAAUUUGUGUUAGCUUAAAUGAAAGGAUUGUCUCUUCUAAAAAAUGAUGAAUCCAACAUGUUACUCUGUGGUCUUCUGAUUGCUCUUCUAUUCAAUAUCUUUUAAAUCUCACGGUGUGUUCAAAGUUAGAACUAGUACGUUUGUUGCACAUUCUUUGUCUGAAGAUAUUCUAAAGAGCCAGAAUUCUAUUAUGGGGGGGGGGGUGAAGCAAAACAUGUGAUGAAUUUGGAUUUUGCAGUCUCUAGAUGGUGUUUUCGUUAGGUUUUCUUGGGAGUCAACCCUCUCAUCCUUCCCGAAGUGCUUCAAUGAGUGUUGUUGAUAAUUGUGCUCUCUCAACGAACCAAAAAAAUUUAGGGAAAAAUCACAGCUUCCUUCUUAAAUACUGCCCUUUUAACAAUGCAUGAAUGCAGCUUACAUGCUCAGAAAAAUUUAGGAAUGUUAACAUUUAACCUGCACGAAUUAUUAACGCAUAAAACUUUAAUUUAUGUAUCUUCUUAGUCAGCUAUCACUUUCGAAUUUGAUCUAGGAACACUGUCAAAAUGGUUUUUGGCUGCGUUUUCUUUAUUCAUCUAACUUGCGCAAAAUUUUAUAUAUUUUCUUUUGUUAAUUUGACUAUUUACUGAAAAUGUUUUCCAGCGUCUAGGGUUCAAAGUCUUUGAUGAGUUAGUUAAUCCUGUUAACCUUUUAGAUCAAUUAAAAGUGAGGUAUACCUUUGUUGCCUCUCACUUCGUCUCUUUGUUCAUGGUGCUAUAAUCUGCCUUCCCCCGCCCUUUCGUUCGUGAAAUGUUUGAAUGCAAUCAUCUUGGGAGUCUUAAUAUGAUCGUUCUGUCACAGAUUAAGCUCAUGUCACAGUCUCAAUAGAUUUUAUGGGUGGGCAUGAGUGCUAGAGAUUUUUGGUUUUAGCACCUUUUUAUGUUCAUUCGCACAUCUCAAUUCAAUAUUUUUUUUUAGAUUAUUUAUCGCCUCAGAUGGAAGAGUGGAAUACAAAAAAGGUCAUAAUGAGAAAUGAGACCUUCCCGUUAUUAGCUGCUUGGAUGGGAAGUGCCAUGUUCUUUGUUCAAACGUAGGGGACGAAGUGAAAAUUGAUGUUUUGAAACUUACCCUUUGUUUGGUGCACUGGCAUAGAUUGAGUCUAUUGGAGCAUCACAGUUUUAGUUACUUUAUUGAGUCCCUUUGUUUGCCCUUUGAAUUCUUACUCUGAAUCUCACUGAUUUUUUGCAGUUUAGAUCGGAUUCUCAUCACAGCAUCGUAAUCUACUCUUGCUACUGCCAUUAAUCUAGGGAUUCUGAGGCAUUUCAUUUGAAUCAAGACUUUGGUAUGUCACCUGAACGUCAAUGCGUUCUUUUCCCGUGCUUUCCGUUUGAGAUAGCACGACUUUAUGAUUUUUUUUUAUUGAUUGUUUGGUUUUCUCGGCUUAUAUUAUUCGUUUGCUUUCUGCUUUGUUUCUCAUUCUUGGUUGUCUCUGUGAUCCUCUGAUUGUCCAGAGGUCGGAUGGUUUCUUUUUUUUUUCUUCUUUUUUUUGGGUUUUAAUUUUGUCUGUAUGAUUCUGUUAUUGUUUGAAGGUCCCUUGCUAUCUCUGUGAUUCUGGCUUAACCCAGUGUUCUUAAUUCUUUAUCGAAUGUUGUUAGGCAUUUUAUCUCUGUGAUUAUGUUAUUGGUUGGUUGGUGUUUUCGUUAGGUUUUUCUAAUAGUGAACUGUCUCAUCCUCCCCGAAGUGCUUUAACAUGUGCUGUUGAUAACUGCGCUCUCUCAACGAACCAGAAUUUUUUUUAGAAAACUCAUAACUUCCAUACUUCAAGAAAAUGAGUGGCCUUUUAACAAUGCAUGAAUGUAGCUUAGAUGUUUAGAAAAAUUCAUGGAUAUUUACAUUCAAAUCGCAAGUAUCAUUAACUCAUAAAAAAUUAAGUUAUGUAUUUUCUUUAUCUGCUAUCACAUCAAAUUUUGAUCUAAAACACUGUCGAAAUGCUUUUUGGUUGCGUUUUCUUUAAUCAUUAUCUAACUUUCGCAAACUCUUAUAUAUUUUCUUUUUUAAUUUGAGUUUUAAAGAUUUUUGACAGUGUUAUUCUUCAACCUAGAAGCGAAAAGAUUUUUCUACAAAACAUAAAUAUUGACGCUAUUUUUAAUUUCUGAUUCAGGGUAAAUAAAAUGGUGAAAGAGAUUGAUUGAAGAGAACAACAAAUUCUAGGAGGAGUUUUGGUAAAAAAUUUAAGGGAACUUGUUAAGGCUCAAAACGAUGAACGAAAUCAAGGGACAGCAUUGAGAUAUUCAAACACUGCCUCGGGACCCGGUACAAAGAGAGCAAUGAGAAUAG
rnacentral:lncRNA from 1 species